rnacentral:tRNA from 1 species
GCCGAUGUGGUGAAACUGGCAGACGCAGCGGACUCAAAAUCCGCCGGGCUAACCCCCGUGACGGUUCGACCCCGUCCAUCGGCACCA